GGCCCGCAGGCGGCCAUGGCGGCGGGCGCCUGGGCCAGGCCGGCGCCGCGCUGGCUGAAGGCGCUGGGCGAGCCGCUGAGCGCGGCGCAGCUGCGGCGGCUGGAGGAACACCGCUACAGCGUCGCGGGCGUCUCGUUGCUUGAGCCGCCGCUGCAGCUCUACUGGACCUGGCUGCUCCAGUGGAUCCCGCUGUGGAUGGCCCCCAACUCCAUCACCCUCCUGGGCCUCGCCAUCAACCUGCUUACCACGCUCCUGCUCAUCUCUUACUGCCCCACGGUCACCGAGGAGGCACCGUACUGGACAUACCUUUUAUGUGCAUUAGGACUCUUUAUCUACCAGUCACUGGAUGCUAUUGAUGGGAAACAAGCCAGAAGAACAAAUUCUUGUUCUCCUUUAGGGGAACUUUUUGACCAUGGCUGUGACUCUCUUUCCACAGUUUUUAUGGCAGUUGGAGCUUCAAUUGCUGUUCGCUUAGGAACGUAUCCUGACUGGUUGUUUUUCUGCUGUUUUAUUGGGAUGUUCAUGUUUUAUUGUGCUCACUGGCAGACUUAUGUUUCAGGCGUGUUGAGGUUUGGAAAAGUGGAUGUAACUGAAAUUCAGGUAGCUUUAGUGAUCGUCUUUGUGUUGUCUACAUUUGGAGGAGCAACAAUGUGGGACUAUACGAUACCUGUCCUAGAAAUAAAAUUGAAGAUCUUACCAGUUCUCGGAGUAGUAGGUGGAGCAAUAUUUUCCUGUUCAAAUUAUUUCCAUGUUAUCCUCCAUGGUGGUGUUGGCAAGAAUGGAUCCACUAUAGCAGGUACCAGUGUCUUGUCACCUGGACUCCACAUAGGAAUAAUUAUUUUACUGGCAAUAAUGAUCUAUAAAAAGUCAGCAACUAAUCUGUUUGAAAAGCAUCCUUGUCUUUAUACCCUAAUGUUUGGAUGUGUCUUUGCUAAAAUCUCACAGAAAUUGGUGAUAGCUCACAUGACCAAAAGUGAACUGUAUCUUCAAGACACUGUCUUUCUUGGCCCAGGUCUUUUAUUUUUAGACCAGUACUUUAAUAAUUUUGUAGACGAAUAUGUUGUUCUAUGGAUAGCAAUGGUCAUUUCUUCAUUUGAUAUGAUGAGGUACUUUAGUGCUUUGUGCCUGCAAAUUUCAAGACACCUUCAUCUAAGUAUCUUCAAGACUUCAUGUCAUCAAGCACCUGAACAGGUUCACAAGCAUAUUGACUAAUAGCCCAAGGAAAAGAGGAGAAGCAGUUAGGGGAACCUAGGAGUGAAGGGAAUCUCCUUUUUCAGGAGGUUCAAGUUAUUCCUUCAAAGAGUCAUCAGAAUAACAUGGACUGAAGAGACUUUCGAACAUUUGCCAUCUCUUGCUGCUGCUGUCAAAUGAAAGGAGAUAUUAAACAUUUGUUUAAUUUUUAGAUAAGUGUUAUACAUAUUUCAGCAAAUAAAAUAUUUCAAUGCUUACAAUAAUCCUUAUUUUUUCAAUUUUAAAUAUAAUAACUUACCGUUUCCAUCAUAAUUUUUUUUUGCAACAUAGCCAUUUCUUUUCUAAGUUCGUUUUGUGCACCAGUAAGUAGAUAAUCGUGAUUCUUCUCCAAGUCCUCCAUACUCUAAAACACAAAAGGCUAGUUCAGUUACAAACCACCACUUUUCAUCUCAGGUUCAAAACUUAUACAAUUAAUUUUCAAAAGCAGGAACUUUUUAAUAUUCAUCAAUGCACAUUAUUUAUCUCAAAUAAAAAUAUUCUAAUACAUGAAAACCAAAAUAUCCACUGAAGGAAUAGAAAAUGUCAGACAUAAAUCAAAUAUUAUUAAAGGAGGUACAAUAGUAGUGUACCUUCUCACUGGAAGAAACAAACAAAAAUCACACAAAAUUUUAUAAAAGGAAUAGAAGCACAACUUCCCGUAGCUAUAUAGUAGAAAAUGGGGACUUAAUUCCAAUUUAGUUGGCAAAAGAAUAAGACUGAAAGGAAGGUUAGGAAAAGGGGUUAAAAGUAUUCUAGGGCAAGAGCAUAAACAAAAGCAUGAAAGUGCAAAGUGAGUGAGUUCAGAGAAAGCCGUUAUGUGGAGGGCGUGGAAGUAAUGGAUGAAUGUAGUAAUUGGAGCAUUAAAAAAAGAAUCAUAUUUUUGGGGGGGUGAAUCUUGAAUACCUAAGAAUUUAGCAUGAGAAGCUACUGACAGUUUUUCAGGAGGGAAAAGGUAAUGUUAUAGAAAGAUAAUAUGGCAGACCCACGAAGGAUGGGUUGGAAAACAGAAAUCAGUUAAGAGUUUUCAUAGUAUAAGCAAAGAAUAAUGAGGUUCUGAACUAGGGCAGUAGCAGUGGAUGUGAAGAAUAAGAGAGAUGGAGGAGUCAAAUAUAGUACUAAAGUUCCUACACCAAGUGGUAAUACUUAGUGAUAGCAUUUAGCACUUAAAUUAAAUCGAAAACAAUGCAUUCAAAAUGGAAAACUGUUAAGAAUUUAAAAUGUAUAAGCAAAAUGUUCUUCCCUUAAACUGAGAAAAAAUUUAUCUUCUACUUCCACAAAUGAAUUAUAUUUUAUAAGAAUGUAUUAUGUUACCAAAUACAACAAACCUUUAUGAACUGCUCAUAUAAUUGUUUAAUUGUUUUCAGUCUCUGGUUCUGAACAAUUCUAGACUGUUGAAAAACUUUCUGUUGCUGUCGAAACAUAUUCUACAAAUGUAAAAGAAAAAAUUAUGAAAUAACAAUUUGGGUAAAAUUUAGCAAAAAUUAAUUCUACAUUACACUUAAAAAGAAUAGUUUUUAAAUCAAUAUUUUUAAGAUUUUAGCAUUUACUAUGACUGAGUUUACAUAAUUUGUGUUCACCACUUAUAUACAAUAAUAUAAUAACCCUACCGGUCAUUGAGUAGGAAAUCUCAACAGUACUCAAAACAUAUUUUAAUUCUUGGUGCUUUCAGUGUCAACACAGAUGAUCCUUACAAUAUUGCUGGUCUUUCAGUUUCUUGGCCUGUUUUCCACCAAUGAUUUUUGUUCUUCACCCUACUUUAGCCAUCCACUUACAUACGCAUACCCUAGAUUUUGUCAUUACCAAAAACUAUAACCUCUGCAUAGUAUUAAUAAUAGCAAACUUGAUAUUAACAAUAUGUUACGAAGCAAAGACCAACAGCUUUUAUGAGUAUGGUAUGUGCCUGUACUUCUGCAUUCAGCAGAACCAAACUCAUAUAGCCAGCAAUGGGCAAUGGAACCUGGCUAAGGUCCAUGGAUGUACUGCAAGGCCGGCCUCUCCCUUCCUACUUGACACUUGGUAAUAGUAGAUUAAUUAUAAAGCUAUAAAGCUAAGCAUAAUACUAACAGUUAGUUUUUCUUCUUGUUCAUCAGCUUUCUGCACAUCUAUAUCCCACUGCUGGAACAAAGUCAGAAACUGCUGAGAAUAUUCUUGGUUAAGCUUCUGCCUGUAAAACAUAAUGAAUAUUGUCAUAUUUCACAUCAAUAUGGAAAGACUUUCAAGACAAAACUGAUUUGACUAAUUAUACUAUAAUAAAAAAGAAAAUAAUAUCAAAUUUUCAGAUGUGAAGCCAAGAAGUAAAGUUAUGAUUUAUCAUGAUUCAGAAGUAUUUAUUUUCCUAACCAACUAACAGAAAAACCCUCUCAUGUACUUUAAGCUCUUGAAAACUAAGGGAGUUUUAUUGUACAUAUACAUUUUCCAGAAAAGUCCAUUUUAUCUCCAAGCAAUUUAUUUUUCAUUUUCUCCUACUGAAUAUAGGUUGUGAUAUGAUAAAUAGAUUCACUGAAGUUAUUAUAUUUAUCAUAUAACAUUUCCAAAUAGAAAUAUUUCACUUAAUUUUUCCUCAUUUUGGUACAAUGAUUUUGUACAAAAGAAUAGUUAAUUCAGCUAAAAUAUACAAAUUAUUUAUAAUACAUAAGGUUGAUCUUUUUCUACACUGUUAAACAGUUAACUAUCAUAAGACUAAUGGUUUAUAUGACAUUUACUUUUUAUUCAGCUAGUGUAUUUUUAGAAUGAAUAUAAAUUACCUUUAUUGUUAAAAAAAACCCUCAAACAUUAUUUAAAAGGGGAAAAAGGACAUCUUUAUUGAUUUCUGGGAAAUAUAUCUCAAGUCUGUGAAGGAAUGAAGUUAUAGGACUAAAGGACUUAGAGGAAAAUCAAGCCAAAUAUACUUUUUUACUAGAGAUCCCAAUAAGUAGAAGAUGAUAGUACUUCUCAUAAUUUGCACCGAUGAAUACUAAGAAAUGAUGCAAAUGUUGUGGCAGUGAAAAAAACAACAUCCUACCUUUGCUCUUGUUGGGUUUUCCAAAUGUUUUCAAUUUUCUGGUUACUGGUUUUGAGAGAAGCCUUGGUAUACAUUUCUAGUCUUUUUCUCUUGGCAAGAAGAGCCUUGUUAAUAUCAGCUAUAUUGAAAAUAAAUACUCAUUAAAUUUAAUGUGGAAGAAAGUUACUUUGUUCCCACGUAUUCAAAUAAACAUCGAUAAAGCUGGUUCAAGAGUUUUGAAAAGAUCUUUAAAAAUACACAUAAUAUCAAAAAGCAAGAUUAUUUCCUUGCUUUUUUUUUUCUGAGAAAACUUUUAGUUAUUGGUAUCCCAAUUCUGAUUUUCCUAACUAGAGAUAAUUUUUUAAUUUAGAGGUGAUUAAAAAGAGCUAAUAACUGAAAGAAAGGGUCUGAAGGACAGACUUUAAUUUCUUCAUAAGAAAACACUAAUAAAGGCUAAAUUUAGAACUCAUUAUAUGAAAUGCAAAACUAUUUUAAGAGUCUAAAAAGAAUAAAAAUAGUUAAAGAAAAUACUUUUUUAAAAUAUAGUCAGUGAUACUUUAAAAAAUAUUUUUACUAAAAGAGACAAAGACCAACCAAGCAUA